rnacentral:rRNA from 1 species
GAUGAACGCUGGCGGCGUGCCUAAUACAUGCAAGUCGAGCGUACGGACGAGAAGCUUGCUUCUCUGAUGUUAGCGGCGGACGGGUGAGUAACACGUGGAUAACCUACCUAUAAGACUGGGAUAACUUCGGGAAACCGGAGCUAAUACCGGAUAAUAUUUUGAACCGCAUGGUUCAAAAGUGAAAGACGGUCUUGCCGUCACUUAUAGAUGGAUCCGCGCUGCAUUAGCUAGUUGGUAAGGUAACGGCUUACCAAGGCAACGAUGCAUAGCCGACCUGAGAGGGUGAUCGGCCACACUGGAACUGAGACACGGUCCAGACUCCUACGGGAGGCAGCAGUAGGGAAUCUUCCGCAAUGGGCGAAAGCCUGACGGAGCAACGCCGCGUGAGUGAUGAAGGUCUUCGGAUCGUAAAACUCUGUUAUUAGGGAAGAACAUAUGUGUAAGUAACUGUGCACAUCUUGACGGUACCUAAUCAGAAAGCCACGGCUAACUACGUGCCAGCAGCCGCGGUAAUACGUAGGUGGCAAGCGUUAUCCGGAAUUAUUGGGCGUAAAGCGCGCGUAGGCGGUUUUUUAAGUCUGAUGUGAAAGCCCACGGCUCAACCGUGGAGGGUCAUUGGAAACUGGAAAACUUGAGUGCAGAAGAGGAAAGUGGAAUUCCAUGUGUAGCGGUGAAAUGCGCAGAGAUAUGGAGGAACACCAGUGGCGAAGGCGACUUUCUGGUCUGUAACUGACGCUGAUGUGCGAAAGCGUGGGGAUCAAACAGGAUUAGAUACCCUGGUAGUCCACGCCGUAAACGAUGAGUGCUAAGUGUUAGGGGGUUUCCGCCCCUUAGUGCUGCAGCUAACGCAUUAAGCACUCCGCCUGGGGAGUACGACCGCAAGGUUGAAACUCAAAGGAAUUGACGGGGACCCGCACAAGCGGUGGAGCAUGUGGUUUAAUUCGAAGCAACGCGAAGAACCUUACCAAAUCUUGACAUCCUUUGACAACUCUAGAGAUAGAGCUUUCCCCUUCGGGGGACAAAGUGACAGGUGGUGCAUGGUUGUCGUCAGCUCGUGUCGUGAGAUGUUGGGUUAAGUCCCGCAACGAGCGCAACCCUUAAGCUUAGUUGCCAUCAUUAAGUUGGGCACUCUAAGUUGACUGCCGGUGACAAACCGGAGGAAGGUGGGGAUGACGUCAAAUCAUCAUGCCCCUUAUGAUUUGGGCUACACACGUGCUACAAUGGACAAUACAAAGGGCAGCGAAACCGCGAGGUCAAGCAAAUCCCAUAAAGUUGUUCUCAGUUCGGAUUGUAGUCUGCAACUCGACUACAUGAAGCUGGAAUCGCUAGUAAUCGUAGAUCAGCAUGCUACGGUGAAUACGUUCCCGGGUCU